UACGUAGGGGGCAAGCGUUGUCCGGAUUUAUUGGGCGUAAAGAGCGUGUAGGCGGCUAGGUAGGUCCGUUGUGAAAACUCGAGGCUCAACCUCGAGACGCCGAUGGAAACCAUCUAGCUAGAGUCCGGAAGAGGAGAGUGGAAUUCCUGGUGUAGCAGUGAAAUGCGUAGAGAUCGGGAGGAACAUCAGUUGCGAAGGCGGCUCUCUGGACCAGCACUGACACUGAGGCACGAAAGCGUGGGGAGCAAACAGG
rnacentral:rRNA from 1 species